UGGGGAAUAUUGCGCAAUGGGGGCAACCCUGACGCAGCAAUGCCGCGUGCGGGAUGACGGCCUUCGGGUUGUAAACCGCUUUCAGCAGGGAAGAUAGUGACGGUACCUGCACAAGAAGCCCCGGCUAACUACGUGCCAGCAGCCGCGGUAACACGUAGGGGGCGAGCGUUAUCCGGAUUCAUUGGGCGUAAAGCGCGCGCAGGCGGCCGUCUAAGCGGGACCUCUAAUCUCAGGGCUUAACCUUGAGCCGGGUCCCGAACUGGGUGGCUCGGGUGCGGUAGGGGUAGGCGGAAUUCCCGGUGUAGCGGUGGAAUGCGCAGAUAUCGGGAAGAACACCGACGGCGAAGGCAGCCUACUGGGCCGUCACCGACGCUGAGGCGCGAAAGCUAGGGGAGCGAACAGG
rnacentral:rRNA from 1 species